rnacentral:misc_RNA from 1 species
GGGUGGUAAGGUGGGGGUGCAGCGGCUUGGUUCUUUUGCGAUGUUUUCUUGGUUCUAUUUUAUUUUAUUAUUUUUAAAUGCAAGGCAAUGGCUUUUGAGGCUGUAGGUAGUUUAGAGGAUGGGUGCAUGAAGGAUGGAGGGAGGAGGGUGUUCAAAGGAUGGGUGGCUGGCUCUGUUUCUCGAAGGCUUAGAAUAGUUUGGGUGUUCAAGUUUUGCAAGGAACAGACGUGAAACAAAAUUCAAG